UGGUUGCUAAGAAAGCUGAUAGUCUUUAUCCUGUUGUCAGUGGUGCAAGUAUAGCUGCAAAGGUUACGAGGGACCGAGCUGUAAGAGAUUGGGUGCUCGAUGAGACUGCUGAUAAUAUACACAGGAACUUUGGUUCUGGAUAUCCUGCAGAUCCCGCAACCAAGUCUUGGCUAGAAAAUCACAAACAUUCUAUCUUCGGUUUUCCAACAUUGGUUCGGUUUAGUUGGGGAACUUGCAGCACUUAUUUUAAAAGUGGUGCUGAAGUUUUAUGG